rnacentral:rRNA from 1 species
GUCAGGUUGAAGUUCAGGUAACACUGAAUGGAGGACCGAACCGACUUACGUUGAAAAGUGAGCGGAUGAACUGAGGGUAGCGGAGAAAUUCCAAUCGAACCUGGAGAUAGCUGGUUCUCUCCGAAAUAGCUUUAGGGCUAGCCUCAAGUGAUGAUUAUUGGAGGUAGAGCACUGUUUGGACGAGGGGCCCCUCUCGGGUUACCGAAUUCAGACAAACUCCGAAUGCCAAUUAAUUUAACUUGGGAGUCAGAACAUGGGUGAUAAGGUCCGUGUUCGAAAGGGAAACAGCCCAGACCACCAGCUAAGGUCCCAAAAUAUAUGUUAAGUGGAAAAGGAUGUGGCGUUGCCCAGACAACUAGGAUGUUGGCUUAGAAGCAGCCAUCAUUUAAAGAGUGCGUAAUAGCUCACUAGUCGAGUGACACUGCGCCGAAAAUGUACCGGGGCUAAACAUAUUACCGAAGCUGUGGAUUGUCCUUUGGACAAUGGUAGGAGAGCGUUCUAAGGGCGUUGAAGCAUGAUCGUAAGGACAUGUGGAGCGCUUAGAAGUGAGAAUGCCGGUGUGAGUAGCGAAAGACGGGUGAGAAUCCCGUCCACCGAUUGACUAAGGUUUCCAGAGGAAGGCUCGUCCGCUCUGGGUUAGUCGGGUCCUAAGCUGAGGCCGACAGGCGUAGGCGAUGGAUAACAGGUUGAUAUUCCUGUACCACCUAUA